CGUUCUAUGGCCGAAUUGGUAAAGGCAUCGCCGUUCACAGGCAAGGUUGCGGGUUCAAGUCCCGCUGGAAUGA
rnacentral:tRNA from 1 species